rnacentral:rRNA from 1 species
CAGCCGCCGCGGUAAUACAGAGGGUGCGAGCGUUAAUCGGAAUUACUGGGCGUAAAGCGCACGCAGGCGGUCUGUCAAGUCAGAUGUGAAAUCCCCGGGCUUAACCUGGGAACUGCAUUUGAAACUGGCAGGCUAGAGUCUUGUAGAGGGGGGUAGAAUUCCAGGUGUAGCGGUGAAAUGCGUAGAGAUCUGGAGGAAUACCGGUGGCGAAGGCGGCCCUCUGGACAAAGACUGACGCUCAGGUGCGAAAGCGUGGGGAGCAAACAGGAUUAGAUACCCCAGUAGUCCCUGUCUCUUAUAC